AGAGUUUGAUCCUGGCUCAGAACGAACGCUGGCGGCGCGCCUAACACAUGCAAGUCGAGCGGGAAAGUGGGGGCAACUCCACGAGUACAGCGGCGCACGGGUGAGUAACACGUAGGUAACCUACCUGCGAGACUGGGAUAACCUGCCGAAAGGCGGGCUAAUACCGGAUAAGACCACGGGGGCUGCGGUCCCUGGGGCAAAAGGUGGCCUCUGCUUGCAAGCUACUACUCGCGGAUGGGCCUGCGCGCCAUUAGCUAGUUGGUGGGGUAAUGGCCCACCAAGGCAGAGAUGGCUAGCUGGUCUGAGAGGAUGGCCAGCCACACUGGGACUGAGACACGGCCCAGACUCCUACGGGAGGCAGCAGUGGGGAAUAUUGCGCAAUGGGCGAAAGCCUGACGCAGCGACGCCGCGUGGGUGAUGAAGGCCUUCGGGUCGUAAAGCCCUGUCGGGAGGGACGAAACCUCGGUGACCCAAUACGUCAUCGACCUGACGGUACCUCCUAAGGAAGCACCGGCUAACUCCGUGCCAGCAGCCGCGGUAAUACGGAGGGUGUAAGCGUUGUUCGGAAUUACUGGGCGUAAAGCGCGUGUAGGCGGUCGCUUAAGUCUGAUGUGAAAGCCCGGGGCUACCUNCGGAAGUGCAUUGGAAACUGAGCGACUAGAGUGCCGGAAAGGA
rnacentral:rRNA from 1 species